rnacentral:rRNA from 1 species
GUAAGGAAUAUUGGACAAUGGAGGCAACUCUGAUCCAGCCAUGCCGCGUGAAGGAAUAAGGCCCUAUGGGUUGUAAACUUCUUUUAGACGGGACAAAACCCCUUUACGUGUAAAGGGUUGAUGGUACUGUCAGAAUAAGCAUCGGCUAACUUCGUGCCAGCAGCCGCGGUAAUACGAAGGAUGCAAGCGUUAUCCGGAAUUAUUGGGUUUAAAGGGUGAGUAGGCGGACUAAUAAGUCAGUGGUGAAAGCCUGCAGCUUAACUGCAGAAUUGCCAUUGAUACUGUUAGUCUUGAGGACAGUUGAGGUAGGCGGAAUGUGUCAUGUAGCGGUGAAAUGCUUAGAUAUGACACAGAACACCGAUUGCGAAGGCAGCUUGCUAAGCUGUAACUGACGCUGAGGCACGAAAGCGUGGGGAGCAAACA